CACUUGAGGCUGUACCAACACUGCUAUAUGCAGUUGUACUAAAAGUUGCAUAAAUUGUACAAUAAAGUUCGGCCUAUUUUUAGUUUAAUGCCACGUGUAUGUAUUUUAGUUCAAUGCCCUCCAAUUUUCCACGUUUUGACAGACACGUAAUAGCAUCUUACCUUUGUGGGAGACAGCUGGUUUUCACUUACAGUCCCCAAAUUUCUCGAGGCUUCUCUUCCUUAUCCUUCUCUCUCUUUUCUUCCGUCAAAUUAGUCUCCAAGAAGCUUCGUCGAAGAGUUGUUCGCAUUUUCCUUUUUUUCGUCUCUUUAGUUUUCUGAAAAUUUUGAACAAAUCGCACUUGUAGUCGCAAGAAAUUUUUCGAAAACUGAGUACCAAAUUUCAAGUUUCUGUCAGAAUUGUGCCGACCUCUACAACAAGAAUUGUUUCUUUUUCCUCUUGCGUGUUGUGAUAUUCUUUUGCCUUUUCAAGUUCUUUUCAUAUUUUCCAUUCUCUUUGCAGGUUUGCACUUGCAGCUAUGCAAAUUUUGCAGAUUGUUGACAAAGUUUGGUACUUGCGUGGUUCCUAACAACAUUCAAAGGAUGAUAGAACCAAACCCAGCAAGUUGACUUCCUUCUUGGGUUAUAAGGUUGGGAUGAAUCACAUUGCGAGAGGAUUUGAAAAAUCUGUAUCAAGUAAAAUCACUCUUUCAUCUAUAGCAUUUCAGUUCAGUAUUCACAUUUUCAACAUACAUAUAAUCAUUUAGACUCUGACUUCAGCAAAUUGUACGAAAUAUUAUCUAACUUAUACAAAAGAAGGCUAAAGGAGGAUGGGAGUAAAAGGACGAACACUGCAUCUUCUAAUUGUACUAAAGAUCUCAACUCUUCAAUGGCGAAUCCAUGUGUUGCUGAGUGUCUUCUCUUUGUGUAGACACUUUAAAUCUCUCUGUGAAGGUUUCCUCAAGAUUUUUGUUUGUUUGGGAUGCCUUGCCGAAAUAUUUCUUCAUGAUUUAAGCUAAAUCUACAUGUUUCUCAAUCUGGCUAAUAUGACCUAUUAUCUCUUUAAGGCUUAUUAUAUUCAUCAAGUCCCUGAUUCUAAUAUUCAAGGGUUGUUUUGGGUCCUUGUACUUCCUGUACUAUGCUUCAACACAAAAACACAAGAGCAGAAAACCCAACGUUGUUAAUGCAAGUUCCUCCAUUGUUAAUUUGCCCGGUGAGCUUUAUACUAUGAAAUUAAUGACUUUUGACGACCAACAAAUGGCAUUGGGUUGCGAGUACGUACACAUUUUUCUCCUCUUCUAAGGCUGAAUACAGAUCCAACAAAUGUAUUACCUGUUUUUUCUUGGAAGCAACAUUUAAAUAUAAACAUCAUCAACAAUGAAGAUGUGAAACUAAAAUUUGCUUACUCUUUUUUGGUGUUUAUGAAGGAGAAAGAACUCAACUUUACAUACAGCAACAUGCAAUUUUUUUCCCAAGGUGCAACUUGAACCAUUUCACUUUGUCUCCGCGAGUAUGAAAAUGAGAGUAUUCACAUGGUGUUCACUUUGUGACUUCACAACGCUCAUCAAAUUUACUUUUCCGAAUUGGUAAAGAGAGAGGUACAUGCUAAUGGAUGUAAAAUUAGCUGGCGAGCCUAACCAACAGUUCAAGACAUGUUGCAAUGGUUCGUAAAUCAUUUCAAGUUGUAUUGUCAUAAAUGCAUGUUGAACUGAAAGUGUAGGCAAUUUUCUAUCUCAAUAUAUGAUGUACUGCCAUGUUGCAUCGAUGUGGCUCUACAUCUGCGGAAAAAAAUCUCAUUUUUUGAGAUCAAAUCUGAAAUCAAUGAUUGUUAGAUUUUACUUGAAUCAUUGUUGGCAUAAGAAUGAGUUAGAUUUUGCUCUCCGAACUCUGGAUAAUAUAGGUUGUAAUAGGCAACUCAGUUGCAAUUCUCUUUCUACUUCUUUUCACGUAAAGAAAUUCGAUGUUUCAUUCAAUUAUGUACAAGCACAAGAUUUUUUUUCCUAAUGCUAACUUUAUGUUUAGUUUGCUUA